GGUAUAGUAGCCGAGUGGGUAAAGCGCUUUAGCUACCUACUGGGUACCGAAGGUCGACGGUUCGAUUCCAUCCUGAAGCA